rnacentral:rRNA from 1 species
AAAUUGAAGAGUUUGAUCAUGGCUCAGAUUGAACGCUGGCGGCAGGCCUAACACAUGCAAGUCGAACGGUAACAGGAAUCAGCUUGCUGAUUCGCUGACGAGUGGCGGACGGGUGAGUAAUGUCUGGGAAACUGCCUGAUGGAGGGGGAUAACUACUGGAAACGGUAGCUAAUACCGCAUGACGUCGCAAGACCAAAGAGGGGGACCUUCGGGCCUCUUGCCAUC